rnacentral:lncRNA from 1 species
UUUCGCCCAGUGAAAGAGCCAACGACUCUAUUUGUUUGAGGGGCUUAUAAAUACGUGUUGGCCAGCUUAGGGCUUACACUCUUGGCAUUCUAGCAUACAUAACAUCCUUGUGAGCCUAAGCAAACACCUCCCACUCAUCUCCUUCAUAGAUUAAACAUCUUUGUGAGAUUGGGAGUGAUUCCAAGUGCAUUUGCUUGAGUGAUUUAAUCUAGUGACACUUGAGGAUCG